ACCUGGGUGGCUCAGUUGGUUGAGCAUCCGACUUUGGCUCGGGUCAUGAUCUCACUGCUCGUGGGUUCGAGCCCCGUGUCGGGCU
rnacentral:tRNA from 1 species